UCGAGCGCCCGCUAGGGGAGCGGCAGACGGGUGAGUAACGUCUGGGAAUCUACCCAGCUCUACGGAACAACUCCGGGAAACUGGAGCUAAUACCGUAUACCCCCUUCGGGAGAAAGAUUUAUCGGAGUUGGAUGAGCCCGCGUUGGAUUAGCUAGUUGGUGGGGUAAUGGCCUACCAAGGCGACGAUCCAUAGCUGGUCUGAGAGGAUGAUCAGCCACACUGGGACUGAGACACGGCCCAGACUCCUACGGGAGGCAGCAGUGGG
rnacentral:rRNA from 1 species